CGAGGGGAAUUGAAACAUCUUAGUACCCUCAGGAAAAGAAAUCAAUAGAGAUUGCGUCAGUAGCGGCGAGCGAAAGCGCAAGAGGGCAAACCCAGUGCUUGCACUGGGGGUUGUAGGACUGCAAUGUGCAAGAGGUAAGUUUAGCAGAACAUUCUGGAAAGUAUAACCAUAGAGGGUGAUAGUCCCGUAUGCGAAAAACAAACCUUAGCUAGCAGUAUCCUGAGUAGGGCGGGACACGAGGAAUCCUGUCUGAAUCCGGGUCGACCACGAUCCAACCCUAAAUACUAAUACCAGAUCGAUAGUGCACAAGUACCGUGAGGGAAAGGUGAAAAGAACUGAGGUGAUCAGAGUGAAAUAGAACCUGAAACCAUUUGCUUACAAUCAUUCAGAGCCCUAUGUAGCAAUACAGGGUGAUGGACUGCCUUUUGCAUAAUGAGCCUGCGAGUUGUGGUGUCUGGCAAGGUUAAGCAAACGCGAAGCCGUAGCGAAAGCGAGUCUGAAUAGGGCGCUUAGUCAGAUGCUGCAGACCCGAAACGAAGUGAUCUAUCCAUGAGCAAGUUGAAGCUAGUGUAAGAACUAGUGGAGGACUGAACCCAUAGGCGUUGAAAAGCCCCGGGAUGACUUGUGGAUAGGGGUGAAAGGCCAAUCAAACUUCGUGAUAGCUGGUUCUCUCCGAAAUAUAUUUAGGUAUAGCGUUGUGUCGUAAUAUAAGGGGGUAGAGCACUGAAUGGGCUAGGGCAUACACCAAUGUACCAAACCCUAUCAAACUCCGAAUACCUUAUAUGUAAUCACAGCAGUCAGGCGGCGAGUGAUAAAAUCCGUCGUCAAGAGGGAAACAACCCAGACUACCAGCUAAGGUCCCUAAAUCUUACUUAAGUGGAAAACGAUGUGAAGUUACUUAAACAACCAGGAGGUUGGCUUAGAAGCAGCCAUCCUUUAAAGAAAGCGUAAUAGCUCACUGGUCUAGUGAUUUUGCGCGGAAAAUAUAACGGGGCUAAAGU
rnacentral:rRNA from 1 species